UCGGGAAUUUUGGGCAAUGGGCGAAAGCCUGACCCAGCAACGCCGCGUGAAGGAUGAAGUAUUUCGGUAUGUAAACUUCGAAAGAAUAGGAAGAAUAAAUGACGGUACUAUUUAUAAGGUCCGGCUAACUACGUGCCAGCAGCCGCGGUAAUACGUAGGGACCAAGCGUUGUUCGGAUUUACUGGGCGUAAAGGGCGCGUAGGCGGCAUGACAAGUCACUUGUGAAAUCUCUGGGCUUAACCCAGAACGGCCAAGUGAUACUGUCGCGCUAGAGUGCAGAAGGGGCAAUCGGAAUUCUUGGUGUAGCGGUGAAAUGCGUAGAUAUCAAGAGGAACACCGGUGGCGAAGGCGACAUCCUGGACCAAUUCUGACGCUGAGGAGCGAAAGCCAGGGGAGCAAACGGGAUUAGAUACCCUAGUAGUCCCUGAGCGGGCUGGCAAGGCGCAU
rnacentral:rRNA from 1 species